rnacentral:tRNA from 1 species
GAGGAUAUAGUUCAGUGGUAGAGUGUGUGCUUAGCAUGCACAAGGUCCUGGGUUCAAUCCUCAGUACCUCCA